AUGAAUUGGAGAGUGGAUCCAGAAUCCUGUGAUAAAGGUAUUGGUGCAAAGGUAUUCAUUAUCUUGUUGUUUUGCAAACACAAAACUGCUAGACAGAUCCCAUACGUCACGCAAGGUAACAUACUUGAUACCAGCAAAAAUGAGAUUCUUCGCAAUCUCAGCGCCAAGACCCUGCAUCCCCGGCAUAAGAACUAUAGGAUCAAAGAGCCUACACAUGGCCUCUCGACCAUACACUGCACGAUGCCUGCUAUGCAGAUCUUCAUCAAUAUCCAUCGAACUAGCAUCUCCCAAAGUCAUGACUACAUGGCCAAGAGCAACCUACUUAACCUAGUAUUGAACCAGUUUCUCUCUUUACUGUUUAGUCAGCAAGGUGUUUUAUUCAUAAUCCUAGCUUGCAGUUAA
rnacentral:lncRNA from 1 species